GGCCUUAUGGUCUAGAGGUACGAUACUCCGUUUGGGUCCCAUAGGGAUUGCUGAUUCGGAGUGGUCCUGGGUUCGAUUCCCAGUGAGGCCC